rnacentral:lncRNA from 1 species
GAGGAAGAGGAUUGUGAGUUCAAAGCCAUCCUCAGCAACAGCAAGGCACUAAACAACUCAGUGAGACCCUGUCUCUAAAUAAAAUACAAAAUAGGGCUGGGGAUGUGGCUCAGUGGUAGAGUGCCCCCGAGUUCAAUCCCUGGUAACAAAAUUUUAAAAAUCAGGGAAAUAAAAAUUCAAACUACAAUGAAUUAUUUUACAUCCUUUCAUCUGACAAAAAAUUAAAAAUCUAACUCUUAAGUACUGUUAACUCUUAUACAAAGCUUGUAGGAGCAUUAAAAAAAAUUGCAAUAACCUUGGGAGCUAAAUGUGGCAUUAUUUUUAAAACAGAAAAUUAAUAUACCCCAUACAUUAGCACUUCAACUUCUAUACAUAGACUUUAAAGAAAUUCCUACAUCAGUAAACACAUAUGUGAAUGUGCAUAAGCAACAUUGUUUAUACUAGCAAAAUUCAGGAAAUAGUCCAAAUCUUCAUCAAUAGUAAGAUGAAUAAAUGUAUAUUCAUAUAAUGGAAAUACUAUACAUAAUAAAAUGAACUAUGCAUAAACAUGGCCAAUCUUACAAUUUUGAGUGAAACAAGUCUCUAGACACAACAAAAAUUCAAAAUAUUUGACAAGUGGGCUGUUAAUAAAUUAAUAUGUAUAUAAUAUACAAAUGUAUAAAUCAACAAAUAGCUUUUUAUUAAUUAUAAAAUUUUAAAGUGAUAAAAGUAG